ACAUUGUACACUGUACUGUUCCAUACAGUACAACAAUUGGUUAAAAAUGUUGAGUUAAACAAUUAAUGCUGGGUUUAAUUAAGGUGAGGAUGUCAGGGCGGGGUGGAGGGAAGGGACGUGCACCCAGCUCAGCUGCACCACCUACUCCUCCACAAGGGGGAGCUAGAGCUAAACAGAAGACCGUUAAUCAAAUAAAACGUGCUCCUAGCCGCUCCCCGGCAAGGGGUGCAGCAAAGGGUGCUAAAGGAACCAGCUCCCCCGGUAGAGGGAGUCCGGCUCUCAGGGGUAGGGGCGCAAAGGCUCCUGGCAGAGGGGCUCCCUCACCAAGAGACUCCCCAGCAGCCAGGGGUAAAAAUAAAUCUAGUCUGGAAACGAUUUCUAAAGAAAAAGAGAAAAAAGUUGAAGAAAUUCCCGUUGUAGAGGAAAAUCUGCGAAAGCGGAAAAAAGUGUUCCCCAAAAUAAGUGAAAAUCCUGAGGCUCCGGAAAUGGAGGAUAUGGAGAACUUAAAACAUUCCCGUGUUCAGAUUAACGGAGUGAAAAACGGAUUAGAUCAUUCCCAGGCGGACUCCAACGGAUUCAAUUCCUCAACUGGGUCUGAUCUGAAACCCCCCGAGUCCAGCGAAGCUGUUCAUAUAAUUUCGGAAAUUCUAACAGACUUGUCAGAUAUAAACCUUUUAUACAGUGCCAAUGGUGGAUUCAAGGAAGCAUCCGAACUUGAUGGUAAAUCUAUUGAAGCUUCUGCUCAAAGUUCUGAGUCCAGAGAAACAGAUCAGAGUUCAGAGCAACCUAAUGCACAGAAAAUAGAAACCAAAGAUUCAGCUUCCCUCACAUCGUCGGACGGAGACGAAAAUUCGAGCUUAGAGACGAAAUCCGGAGAAAUAAUGUCGACUGACGAUUCUUUAAAUAAAUGUGAUACCCUUGAGCUUGAUACUGGACUAAAUGAUAGACUAGUCCAGUCACGUGAUAACGGACAAAAUGAAGGACUAGUCCCAGAUAGUGAUACAGGACUAAAUGAUGGACUUGACCAGUCUCGUGAAACUAGACUUGAAGGUGGACUGGAGCAUGGUGGUGGGUGCGAACCUGAGUCCCUGCAUGGAUAUACAGAUGUAGUUGAUCUGAUCUGUACAGAACAAGUUAACUACUCUACUACCCAGGCUAAUCAAGGCAAGGAGGAGAAUAAACCAGAUCCUAUCUUCACUACCAUCACUUUAGAUGCACUUGAGACUGGGAUGGUCCCUGUGGAGUCAGUUCACAUUGAGCAUAUACAGGCUGAUGGAACUAUUACUGAAAUAUCUAAUAUAGAGCUAGCAGAUGUACCUGUUGACGAUGUUCCCAUGGUAGUUCUCCAGGACCAAGAAUCCAAUGGUAAACAGGAGGAUCUAAACAUUAAGCAGGAGUUACCCUUUGAUAAAUCCAAACUAUUCUCACAGAUGAAUGACAUAUUUGCCAAAGACACGCAGGAAGUAUUGAAACGUAAAACACUGAAAGAGAAGGAGGUCAAAAAGAAGAUUAAAGAAGAAUUUUCCAAAAAACCUAAGAGAGCGAAAGAUGAUUCCAAAACAGUUCCUACUCGACUCAAGAUGGAUCCUAUUAAUUUUAAAGUUGAGAAGGUGGAUAGUUUAACAGAUCUUAAACUGGAGGUAAAACCUGUUCUUGCUCCCACACCAAGCAUCGUAGAAAAACUGGGCAUUACCCAAAAAUCAGAUGUAACUAUCCAACCAGCUGUAACUACCCAACCAGCUGUUUCCUCACAGCCAGUUUUAACUCCACAACCUGUUUUAGCACCCCAACCAGCUGUAACCCUCCAACCAGUUUUAGCUCCCCAACCUGUUUUAACUCCCCAACCUGUUUUAACUCCCCAACCUGUUUUAACUCCACAACCUGUUUUAACUCCACAACCUGUUAUAACUCCUAAACCGGUCCUAACCCACCAAGUAGUUUCAGUCCCAAAGAUUGUCCUAGAAUCACAGGUUUCCAGCACACCUUCUCUUUUCCCAGUUGGAGAAACUAAACUGAAAUCUGAAUCCGAACUAACGGAUGAUGAUGAUCCUCCUCCUGUACUUGAGAAACAAAUAGAUCUACCAGAUCUGAAACCAGUUUUGGACUCUAAAGAUCAAAUCAUGGCACAAAUCCCAAUUUCAGAUUCCGAAACAAAGCUGGUAUUAUCGGAACCUAGCCAAACAGUGUCUAACAUUCCUCAAGAGGAAACUGAGAAUAACUCGGAACUAACAAAGUCUUUGCGAAAGGUGAGACUCGCUAAAAAAUCUCCCGUAAAGCAGGUGCGUGAGAAGGUUGAAACUCCUGUUCCCGCCCUCAUCCCGAUCUCUGACCCUCCUGUCGUGAAACCUGUCGGGAUGUCAAGAACCCGAUCGUUUCUAUCCCAGAUGGGGACCGAGGUGUUCGACUUUACAGACGACGAAGAUAUUCCACUUAGUACCUUAGACCUGGAUGCUCUCACCCAGUCUGAGCACAGCACACCCAACCUACUGGUAACAGGCUCCGUCCUGGAUGCAUCACCUCUGGAGAUCUCAAUACCGGAUCCACGUCCUGGUUCCUCUAGUACCCUCACACCUCGCAACAAAUCUCCGCACAAACGGUUUGAAGUGUCACCUACUAUUCUCUCCCAGCAGGACGCCAUCGCCGCUGUUAUGGCGGUGCACAGUGGUCCUGGAGGUUUCCCGUUAAUGAAACUAAACGGUGAGAUGAUGUCUGAUGAUACCGAUACCUCUAUGGGUAGAUCAGGGGUGGAGAAAACAAAGCUUGGGAAGAGAAGGAAGCGAAGAUUAAUGGAAAGUGAUGGAGGAGAUACAGAGGAUGAUCUUGAUCCAUCAAAUAAGAAGGAUAUACGUCCCAAGCGUAGUAAACACACACAAGAGGCUGGAAACGCUCGCCCCAACUCAGCAGCCUCAGGAACCUCAACAGCAUCUGUUCGUGAGCUGGAGGCUAGAGUACAGGCUGAGGAUACAGAUGGAAAACAUUCACCAGACAGCCAGAAAUCUGGAGAUGAGAAAUCUGGAGGAAAAGGUCCGAGUACUGUAGUUCCUGAGAAGGCGAGUUCAUUUAACAUUCAUCCUGAACGAACCUGUGCAGACUGUUGUUAUUAUUGCGGUCUCAAAUUUGGUAUGCUCGACACUCCUCUUCAUGUAGCUCAGCUCAAAACCCUGGAGAAACAGGAGUUUGCAAUGCAGUUCACAGGGUUUGGAACUGAUGCCUGCCUCUGUGAUCGUUGUUUCCGUUUCCUCGACCGGCGUGCUCAGGCCCGUGAUAUGAACGGUUCCAAGAUGGUGAAAGAAGAGGAAAAGGUUAAAAAAUGUCUCAUCCGAAGCUGUAAUCGAGCAGUCACAGGGUCGGUAUCAAAGAAGUGGUUAAUCCGUCUAAAGAAACGAUUAAUGAAGAAAGUAACACUGGACUGGGACAAGGUAUCCAAGGCCUCUGUGAAAGCAACGUUCUUACUCUGCUCGAAACACAACUCAAUGAUAGAAUUCUACUCCAACUGCGGAUUGUGCCGGAGAAAGUUAACUGUUGGCGGGAUUUGUACAUUAGGAAUGACGAAGAAGGAUGUUGAAGAGAUGAAUAUAUUGCUCCGUGAGGAUCAUAUACCAGCAGAUCUUAAGGAGAAUAAUUUCGUCUGUAAACUCUGCAAAACAUUUUGCGGGAUCAAGCAGAAGAGUUUGCAACCUGAUUAUCUCAAAAAUCAUAAAACCCACAAAGCAUUUUACAAGGAUUACCGACGGAGGUUAUAUGUGUUCCUUGAGCUUGGCGAGGAGGAGGAAGAGGAACCUGCUCCAGCUGGACCUGCUCAACCACAACCAAAGGGAGCUGACAAGGGUCCCAAGAAGAUGUUCAAAGUGUCGCAUGCUGAGGGUUCAUGUAAAAUUACCAUCUCCGCCCAUACCCCUGAUUCUGGAGACAGGAAGCGGAGAAAAGAGAAGGAUUUUGCGUCUCCUAGUAGUGAGUCGAAAAUCCACGUAAACUCUGGAUCCCCGUUACCUAUUCCAGAUGGAGAGAGCUUUGACAAAUGUGCUGUAAAUAUUCAGUUUGAUAUGAACACUAAGAAACUGUGGCAGGAUUUACACUAUCCGUACGGAAACUACACUAGUUUCUUCCGGCAUCUUAUUCUCCUGGAAAAAUAUUGGCGAAGCGGUGAUUUAACUCUUGCUCCUACAGCAUCCCUUAAAUCUGCAUCUUACCUUAAGUCUGUUAAGAACCGGAUAACUGCGUAUGAAGGAAAACAGUCUGAUGCAGAUUUAUCAGCAAAUACCCGUCCUGACCUAGAGGAACCUGCUGCACCCACUCUCACCCAUAUUCCAGGGGAAGCUGUGCUUGCCAACCUACCCACAGAUUUGCCUAGUCCUAAACUUGAACCCUUCAAAGAGUCAACUAUCUUAAGGAUACCCAGGAUACCUCAAAGUCUAGUUUCUCCUAACUCAAUCCUUUCUCCGGAGUCUCUUGAGUUAACGCGAGCUAAUUCGCUGUCUCCGACUCCUAAGAUUAGGGUCAGACAAGAUCUCAUGCAGCACCUUGGUCUUAUUGCUAAGAGUUCCGCUAAUAUAGUUGAGAAGAGAAGUAAACCCAGUAGUGUUUACACAACCUCAAGUAAUCAAUCGUUAAACUUUCAGUUUUCUGGUCAGCAGCAUAAUCCUAUUAAUACUGCCUUGCUUCAGCAUGGAACUCCGAACCUAUCUAAACUACUCUCUGAUCCUAACUCAACCUAUAGUGUUGAGGAUAAAACAACUGUUAAGUCCGGAAUCAAGAGCAGUAAUUCCCAGUUGUUUAAGAGCACAGAAUCUUCAGGUGCUAUACCUCUCACCUUUAAUAAUUCUAUUGCUGAGGUGUUGGCUGCAGCGAGCAAAGCUAAACUUAAUAAAUCCCGUGAACCGUCCCCUAAACCUGAAAUCACAAUCACCCCUAAAAUGAGUAAGACCACGGACAAACAAGAUGGUUUAAUCAAAAUUGGUAAGAAGUCUGGAACACCAACCGCUUCUCCAGGUGGGUUAUCAAUACUAAAAAGAACGAUAACCUCGUCAGGGGCCACCGUUAACCCAAUAUCUAACAUGGCGAAGCUGUUGCAAACCCAGAGCCCUGGCCUUCCUCCACAUAUUAUUGCUCAGCAGUCUCUUCCCGCUAGGGCCUCGCCAAAAGUAAUGUCACGCCCGCCGAUCACCGCCUCCUCGAAUUUCCGUCCAGUUCAACUGAGCAGCGGCAAACCGUCCGGUAUUCAAACCGUUAAUAAGAAAUCCCUGACAACAGUUCUAGAUCGUCUCAGCUGCUUCACAACAAGUUCUCCGACUAAACCGAACCCAACUUUAUCCUCUAGUUUAGUUCAACAACUUCAGGCUCCCUUGGUUUCAUCUCGACCCAGUGCUAACUCUAAACCAAGUAAGCAGAACAAGGAAUCGUCUUUAAGAGCUCAAAUCCAGAAAGCCCUGGGUCCAACUGCUCCUCAAUUCAUCUCUCAGCUGAGCAAUACUAACCAGUACUCUCCUUCAUCGUCAAACAGUAAUCAGUUAACAACCUCACAGGGUGUUCAAUACUCUCCUUCUACCACCCUUAGUACUACCCUAACCUCAGCUCUACCUGGUAGUGUUAUAGUUCCCUCCUCCCUCUCUGGUAUACAGAUAUCCCAACCUAUUCUACAGUUCCCUGGAGGAACCAUUGAUCCAACCUCUCUCAUGUUUCCAAAUCUCAUGGGAAACCAAAGAAUAGCUGCUCAGAACGCUGCUCAAAAUGCUGCUUUCAACAUGAUGGCCAGCAUGUCGGGCAUGAGCCCGCAGCAGGCCAUAGAGCUACUCAACCAGCAGCAGCAGCUGAUGAACCAACAGCAACAGCAGCAGCUGAUUAAUCAGCAGCAAAAUAGAAUCCGAGCUCCGCCUCCCCUGAAGAAGCAUGGCAAGGAAGCUUGAGUUUCCCUUUUACAAUAUGAACAUUAAAAAUUGAUUGAUCAGUUGAUAAAGUAUAUAUAUUUAUAUAUACAUAUAUUUUUGUAUUUUAAGUCGCGUCAUGUCGUGUUAAACACACAGUCAAGUUAGUGUUCAGAUUCAACUGAACGAAGUGCACCCAUAAUAUUUUACAUUUAUUCAAUCAUUUUUUAUUUUUAUAUUAAUUUCAAGCUGGACAUUAUUAUUUCUUGAUGCAUCUUUAAGCUUUAAAGAUCUAGUGUUCUAGACGCUAAUUGCUAGAUUUAAUUUAUUAUUUAAGAACCCAUGAAUCUAGGUUUUACGAGUUAACAUAUCAUGUCUUAGUUUAUGUAUUUUAUUUAGUUGUUUUGCUUUAAUUUGAUUUUAUGUACUAUUCCUAUCUUGUACAUUGAGUACACAUACAUUUACACCUUGUUGAUUAACUUAUAUACAGGGUUGGUCAUUAAACAAGGGGCUUGGUCGCCGGCAUUAAUGAAUCAAUAUUAGCUGCGAUAUUGUCAGUUAUUGGUUCUUGUUUAUCGAUUAGCCUUGUACCCUUACCCCUCAAUCUACUAGUCAAGGGGGUUUUAUAUUGCACAAAACUCUAUUUGAUUUUUACAGGUCUUUUCUCCCCUAAUUUUAAACGGUAUAAAAUGGGGUUAUAUCCCCCUCCCCCUCCCCUGUUCAGCGACUUUCCCACUCUUGACUCCCCUGUAUAGAUAUUCUAUUUAGAUAUUUCUUGUGUACAGAUACAUACAGAAAAUAAAUUUAAAAAUUAUU
rnacentral:misc_RNA from 1 species